rnacentral:rRNA from 1 species
GACGAACGCUGGCGGCGUGCUUAACACAUGCAAGUCGAACGGUGAUCCCGCUUCGGUGGGGGAUCAGUGGCGAACGGGUGAGUAACACGUGAGCAACCUGCCCCUGACUCUGGGAUAACUCCGGGAAACCGGGGCUAAUACCGGAUAUGACGUGCCUGCGCAUGCGGGUGUGUGGAAAGAUUUUUCGGUUGGGGAUGGGCUCGCGGCCUAUCAGCUUGUUGGUGGGGUGAUGGCCUACCAAGGCGACGACGGGUAGCCGGCCUGAGAGGGCGACCGGCCACACUGGGACUGAGACACGGCCCAGACUCCUACGGGAGGCAGCAGUGGGGAAUAUUGCACAAUGGGCGCAAGCCUGAUGCAGCGACGCCGCGUGAGGGAUGAAGGCCUUCGGGUUGUAAACCUCUUUCUAGCGCCGAAGAAGCGAAAGUGACGGUAGGCGCAGAAGAAGCACCGGCUAACUACGUGCCAGCAGCCGCGGUAAGACGUAGCGUG